rnacentral:rRNA from 1 species
GAUGAACGCUGGCGGCGUGCCUAAUACAUGCAAGUCGAACGCAUUGUGGUUGAAAUGAUAUGAAGAACUUGUUCAGAUUUGAUUUUCAACAUUGCAAUGAGUGGCGAACGGGUGAGUAACACGUGGGAAACCUACCUCUUAGCAGGGGAUAACAUUUGGAAACAAAUGCUAAUACCGUAUAAUAAUUAAAACGCAUGGUUUUAGUUUAAAAGAAUGGUCUUGCUAUCACUAAGAGAUGGUCCCGCCGGUGUAUUAGUUAGUUGGUGAGGUAAUGGCUCACCAAGACAAUGAUACAUAGCCGAGUUGAGAGACUGACCGGCCACAAUGGGACUGAGACACGGCCCAUACUCCUACGGGAGGCAGCAGUAGGGAAGU